GGUAGGGACAGGACUAUAAAAACUCUGGGCAGAGCGACAGCUGGGGGGGAGUUGUUGAAGGGGAAGGAGUGUCUCAGAGAGCUCCAUGGAGGAGUGGUCCAAAGGUGGGAAGAGGGGAGCCACGAAGCCCCAGAGAGAUGGCAACCACAUCACAGCAAGGAUGCGCGCUGAUGGUGGGCAGCCGAAGCAUGGACCCUGUGAAUAACAUGGAAAGUGGGAGAUUGAAGUUCAAAUCCCUUCAGGCAGAAGAAGAAACUGAAAUGGGAUCUCCAAAAUGCUGGAACAACAAGGAAGAUUUUUUUACCUCUCUGUCUGCCAUAUGACACCUCCAGGGAAGGAAUUCUAUCUGCUCAACUCAUCAAAGGACUACUCAACACAGCUCACACACUGUCAUGGACCCAGAGGGACAGCCUUCCAUCUUCAGCCCCCCUCUGUGCAAAAAUGAAGUUUAUUUCCUACCUAUGGGGACUUUUUACCAUCUUGUACCAUCUACACUUUUCCCAGAGUCUGAUGAAGGGACUUUGAUCCUGAAAGCUUGCAGAAAAGGACAGUUUUCUUGCCAUUUUCCAGUUGGUCUAAUAAAAGGUAUAAUUUUGGA